rnacentral:rRNA from 1 species
GACGAGCCACACGAACGUUAUUCGGAAUUACUGGGCUUAAAGGGCGCGUAGGCGGCGCGGUAAGUCACUUGUGAAAUCUCUGAGCUUAACUCAGAACGGCCAAGUGAUACUGCAGUGCUAGAGUGUGGAAGGGGCAAUCGGAAUUCUUGGUGUAGCGGUGAAAUGCGUAGAUAUCAAGAGGAACACCUGAGGUGAAGACGGGUUGCUGGGCCAACACUGACGCUGAUGCGCGAAAGCCAGGGGAGCAAACGGG